UAGAAAGAUGUGGACCGCCUGCCCAUCAAGGGUUCUAAAAGGCUGGCUGCGAAUGGACCGCCAGGGGCGCUCCACUCACUUCUCCACGUCCCUCGGCGCACCUCCGAGCCGCGCCCGCUCCGGCCCAGGCCGCUCCCUCCCUCCCUCACCCGCCCCGUCUGACGCUAGGGGGCGCCGUAGGCUGCCCGGCGCGCAGCUCGCUGCCCCGGAGGGCCGGGGCGGGAGGCUGCGGCCAUGGACCGCUUCGUUUGGACCAGCGGCCUCCUGGAGAUCAACGAAACCCUAGUGAUCCAGCAGCGCGGGGUGCGAAAACGACUGCGAGGAGAAGAUAAAAUUUAAUGCUGGGACUCUCCUUCUUAGCACACACCGACUGAUUUGGAGAGAUCAGAAAAAUCAUGAGUGCUGCAUGGCCAUUCUUCUUUCCCAAAUCGUGUUCAUUGAAGAACAGGCGGCUGGAAUUGGGAAGAGGUAAGGUC